rnacentral:rRNA from 1 species
UACAGAGGGUGCAAGCGUUGUCCGGAAUCAUUGGGCGUAAAGCGCACGUAGGCGGGUCAUCAAGUCGGAUGUGAAAGCCCACAGCUCAACUGUGGAAGUGCAUUCGAAACUGGUGAUCUUGAGUUUCGGAGAGGGUGGUGGAAUUCCCAGUGUAGAGGUGAAAUUCGUAGAGAUUGGGAGGAACACCGGUGGCGAAGGCGACCACCUGGCCGCAAACUGACGCUGAGGUGCGAAAGCGUGGGUAGCAAAC